rfam:Hordeum vulgare subsp. vulgare, WGS project CAJW01000000 data, contig: morex_contig_158629
AAUGUACUCCCUCCGUCCGGAAAUACUUGUCCUACAAAUGGAUAUAAUGGAUGUAUCUAUAACUAAAAUAAGUCUAGAUACGUUCAUCCUUAGGACAAGUAUUUUCGGACGGAGGGAGUAGAAG